rnacentral:rRNA from 1 species
UACGUAGGUGGCAAGCGUUGUCCGGAAUCACUGGGCGUAAAGCGCGCGCAGGCGGUCUUCCAAGUCAGUGGUGAAAGCCCGGAGCUCAACUCCGGAACUGCCAUUGAAACUGUGAGACUUGAGUAUGAGAGAGGUGAGUGGAAUUCCCAGUGUAGAGGUGAAAUUCGUAGAUAUUGGGAAGAACACCGGUGGCGAAGGCGGCUCACUGGCUCAUUACUGACGCUCAGGCGCGACAGCGUGGGGAUCAAACAGG